AUUCUGGUGUUCUCACCUGCUCUAAGGCACUGGGAGACAGCAGGGGAAAAGGAGAGGAUGGCGCAGCCAGCGGUGACUUUGCAACAGUGGAAAAGCAGGCAGCCACAACUCUCUUGGCGUUGUCGCCUUUCUCCACAAGCAAGCUGUUGAACUGAAGGGGCUGGAUUUGGCCAAUUACAAGUUGCUGCUGGGAAGCCCGCAAACAGGACAUGAGUGCAAUAGGUCACUCCUGAAAAGUGACUAGAAACUACAACGUUACUUAGAGAACUACAUGGUGAACUUUGGAUCCACGCAGAUUUCAAAGGAUGGCUGAGUUCUUCUGGAUCUCAUAUUGUUUCAUAAAGUAUAGCCUGGUUGUCCUGGAGUCCCUCCCCUGUGGACCGAAGCCUGUGGCAGGUGCAAAAGAAGGGUUUUUAAAAGCACAGGACCUUCAAGGUGUCCUCAAGCGGGUUACUCCUUGGUUGAAAAUGUUGCUACCAGCAUUUAAGUUACUUAGCAGAAACUGGUAAGUAUAUUUAAUUUCACAUUUGGAAGAAAGGGGGUGGCUCGAGUUUUGAGGAAUGAAUCAGGGAAGGAGCAAGCAGUGAGAAAAUGAUGUGUUGCUCGAGGCAGUAUUUGCUGUGUGUUUGUGUAUACAUCUAACUGGGGAUCUGAUCAAGACAAUACUUUGCUGAACAUGAACAAGUUCGGACUUUGUGGCGGAGUGAAGAGGAAAUGAGGAUUAUCACACACAGUGUCUUCCUCUUGCCUUAGGCUGUUUGAUUCAUGUUUAUCAAGGGCAAAGAAGCUAGCAAAAGUGAACAACUGCAGUACCCCUGCCACCACCUAGUUCACAACAGCAUAUAUUCAUGUGUUCAGCUUUUUUGCCUUUUAUUUGACAAAGAAGUCUUAGGAAAGGAUUUGUCAGAUGCCUAUCUUUUAAAUAUGUGGCACUCUUAUACCCUGGGGUGCUUUGUUUGUAUUUUCCCUGCAUGCCUCUGGUUUAUGACAAAUCAGAGUCCUCAUAGUUAGGACUGGAGGACAAGUCCAUUUUAAAUGUCCACUUAUAUCUGUUUUUUAACCCUAUUAAUUAAACACAAAUUAUACACAAAAUUAUAUGCAGACCUCCGCCUCCUGUAUAUUUUUACAUUUAACUGAGUCAAGGCCCCUGUGGUAUUAUAUUUCUGCAGCAUAAUUUUACAAGUUGUAAAACAUAAAUAUUAUUAUAUACUUAUAUGCUUUGUUGUGUAGGUAUCUAGUUACUUUAGGAAAUCUCUAGUGUAUACUAGGCAUUCAUUACAUAUAUGUAUAUCAUAAAACAUACAAUACAGGCAGUUUAUGUGCGUUCAAUCUGUGUGCGACUGUGUGUAUGCGCAUCACGUUGAACUCAGAAAUGAGCCAGAAAGAUCAUAAAGAUGUCACUGAAAUGUCACUUAAAUGGCAGAAUUUCUAGGGGGUGGGGUGGGGGCAGAAUGGGGUGUUCGCAGGCUUUUUCAAUGGGUUUCAAUUAUAUGUGAUUUCAUGGAAGUGUGCAGUGCCCUGGAACAUAACCCCCUUGUAAACAGAGAGCUGCCUGUACACACACACAGUGGGAGCCUUGUGGUAUGUUCCAUACUGCCAGCACUUCCUGAAGUGGCAAUGUGACAUUCCGUCAGGCUGGAAUCUCUUUCCGUCAGGCUGGAAUCUUGUCAGUAAAGAGCCCCACCGAAAGUGAGCAUGGGAACCUUUCUUACUGUUUGUGGAGCAAAAAGGAAAAACCCGAUUCCAUCUUCAGAGAAACCCCACGUUUGCUAGCUCUUAGCACACGCUCCAUCUUGGCAUGGCUUCCUUGAAUGGUCAUGUGUCCACACAGUAUUGUUUUAAGAGUGAAUCAGUAAGGCAUUGGGUAGAUUAACUGCAUUCAGCAUGUUCAUAACUUAGGUAUUUAACAUAACCUGUGCUUGCUGAGUGUGUUAGUCACAAUGAUGUGAAGUACCUGAAACGUCAUUAAGAGGUUCCUUAAACUGCAAUGCUAAGGUCACCUAAGGACUAUCAAUGUUUCAUUAAUGUUUCAUUAAACAAUGCUGGGCACGAACCUAGUGAAGAGUUCUUAUGUCUCCACUAAUAAUCUACGGGCAUUUAAAGACAGAAUCUAGGUCAGAGGUGAUUUAUUUCCUUUUAUAAUUCAAACAGACCUCUAGGUGUUGCUGUACUUUCAGAUUUUUAUGAAAUAAUUUGGGUUCUUAUGUCCUAAUGUGUAGCAAUUUAAUAGCUGCAGUGAUCUGAAGGAUGAUGGUGGCUUCACUGAGAAUAAUGAUAAAUGUAUUGAGGAGUGAUGGAUGCACUUAAGCAGGAGGAGGUUAAUGAUUGGUGCUCCUAACAGAUUUGAUGUGGGAGUGAUAAAUUAAAGGUGACUUGCAAAGGUAAAGCACUAAAUUCCAUUAACUUUACCAAUAUGUGCUUGAAUACCCCUUGCCCCAGUACCAUGGCUCAGCUAGGAGGUGAAUUUUGCAAAUUGUUACUUGAAAGGUAACUUUAUUAUUCUUCAGUCUAGUCAUAGCCACAUUCCAUCGAAUGUUUUCCACUUUUGUUGUCCAGAUCCUGUUCAAAUCUUAUUUCAAAUGAGAAAUUGUGUCUCAGAUACCGUAGUGAUGUUGACAAUUGCAUUUUCAGGGUUCACAACUGAAUAGCAGCCAUGUUUUCAACAGAAGUGCUAAUAGCCCAAUGUUUGGCUUUCAGUCAGGUGGCAGACUCCAUCCACCAUCCUCAGUGUUUGCAACAGCUCAUUGUUAUAAAAUCUCAGGCUUUCCGGACCUCAAAUUUUAGAAAAAUACACCUUUGCAAAGCAAGUUCUUUUGGCCUGCAUUCUGAUUGCAUGUUGACGUGGUGGUAUGUCCCAUUCAGCUCUGGUCUUUCUAGUUAUGCCAUUGCUGAGCAAAGCCCAGGCUACCAGGACUCUGUCUGGUAAUCUGGGUCACCUGGUGAGUCUGGAAUGUUAUAAUACGGCUGAAAGAGCUAUGCGUAGGGAAGAGACAGAACAACAGCUAUUCUAACUUUUAUUUUAAAACUUUGGCAUAAAAGUUCCUAAAAGAUAAAUGCUGCUGUCACAACACUUGAAAAUGUGAUUUCCUUGGUCUCUAGUCUUGAAGCAGCUUGGCUACCUUGCGAUUCCACCUGGCCCAUUAGGUGUCAGAUGGGGCAUAGAACUGUCAAUAUUACAAUACUGUAGAGUAACGGGACUGAGAAGCAAUAUUGCAGCAUGCAACAAGGGACCAACAAAUGCAUGCUUUGCUCUUGGUUUUAAAAGACUUGCAUGGUGAUCCGGUGACUGAAGAAGAUUCAGUUUGUUUGCUGUUAAUUCAACUAGGGGAACGAACUUCUCUACGCUGAGUGGUGCAAACAGUUCACAGAAAUUAAGCAUCAAAUAUGAGGCAUGCACAUCUGCUUAGUGUGUCCUCUCCACCUUUCAGAGCCCCUGGCACAAUGUUUCCCAAGGGUGCAACAGCAAGUUUCAAGUUGGCUGCUUGGGAAUGCCAUUAUGCUAUAUGUCUUUUUGUGACAUUGGUGCAAAGUCAUCAUGCCAUUAUUCCAGUGCAGUGGACACCCAGUUUAAAUACUCAUUUCCUGCUGUGCCAGCUCAUGGAAUCAGGCCUUAAAUCGCUUUAAAACUAUCUGUUUCCACUAGUUGUGGUUCAUCAAAAUGUAUCAGGAAGACUGAUUGAAGGAUUUAUAACCUGCAACGUAAUUAACAAAGGCAACUUACUGUACUCUGGGCUGUUUAAGCAAGUAGCUAGUGGCAAUCCUAAAUAGAUUUAACUUGGAAAUAAACUAAAGUCCUUUGAAAUGAAUAGGACUUACUUUCAAUUAAAUUAAUUUAACUGAUGUUUGCAAAAGGUGAUUGACAAUUGAAUUAGCUUACCUCAUUUGUAUAAGCUCCUUAGUACACAAG